rnacentral:rRNA from 1 species
UUUUAUUUAAGAGCCGCGGUAUCUUGACCGUGCAAAGGUAGCAUAAUCAUUAGUUUUUUAAUUGGGAACUGGUAUGAAAGGUUGGACAAAAGAAAAGCUGUCUUUAAUGGUAUAAAUUGAAAUUUACUUUUAAGUGAAAAGGCUUAAAUAUUUCAAAGGGACGAUAAGACCCUAUAAAGCAUUUUAUUGGGGCGAUAUGAGUAUAAUUAUUAACUGCUUAAAGAAAAUACAAUUAUAGAUGCAUUGAUCCUUUAUAGAGAUUAAAGACUAAGUUACUUUAGGGAUAACAGCGUUAUUUAUUUUGAGAGCCCAUAUCGAAAAAUAAGUUUGCGACCUCGAUGUUGAAUUAAAAUGUCUAUAUAAUGCAGCCGUUAUAAGAGAAGGUCUGUUCGACCUUUAAAUUUUU